rnacentral:misc_RNA from 1 species
GUAGGUGAACCUGCGGAAGGAUCAUUAGUGAAUUGAAUAUGUUAGCAGACCUCUUCGGAGUCCCUAGCAUCAAAUCAUAUCCAUAACACCUGUGAACUGUAAGGCUGUCUUGAAAACGAAAGUGAUUAGAGCGCCUGCCCAUUUUAUACAAACAUUAAAGUAACAAACGUAGUCUUAUUAUAAUCUAAUAAAACUUUCAACAACGGAUCUCUUGGCUCUC